AUCUCAAAUCAGGUUCGGCAACCU
rnacentral:rRNA from 1 species